GUUGCCGUUAUGCUGGCUUUUUGCGACGUCUUGAUAUCAGUUUGGAAUAAUUGGACUCUGGGGAAUCCUCACUCAUACUCGAGUCAACCUGCAGACAGAUCGGCCAGUUUGUCCAGACACGAUGUCCUUCUCGCUUGAAGGUCACGAGAAACAUUACGUAAAACUGGCAUGCGGUGGUGUAGAGGUUGGGUGAGAAUGACACGUGUUUCAUCAUUAUCAAGCAGACCCAUCCUCAGCAACGUCAACCUAAAGAAGGAAAAGCCA